AACAUUCCUGAAGGAUGAGGAGGUAUUGUCUCAUUCUACCAACACCUGACGUCACUUUCUUUAACUGCUCUUGUCGUUUGGUUGCAGAGGUUUUCAGUGGUCUGCAGUCUUUAGUGUUCCAAAAGGUGCUUAAAUUUUAUGCUCCUUGAAGACAAAUCACAUGCACAAACAUAUUUCUUCUUAUCCCAGUUCCAAGAAUUUGUCAUUUAACCACAAUAUCUUAGAACUGGAAGGAACCUCGGCGGGGUCAACCCUAUUUGAACAGGAAUCUUUGCUCUAACAAAUCCUGACAGAUAUUUACAAGCAACAAUUUACUUUAUGCAUUAUGGUGACUGCUGACUUUUUGGGAUUUCCAUAAGAUGAUAUCUGUCCCCAACUCUUCCCUGUUGCAUAUUCCUCAAGAGAAUUAUUCUUCUCCACUUUUGCCCAGGAAGCUCCUUGUGAUUGUAGCUUGAUUUAUUCAUUGAAAAAUUGUAUCCAGAUAUUGUUCUUAUAAGAGGGGCAACCAAAGCACUUC